rnacentral:rRNA from 1 species
GACGAACGCUGGCGGCGUGCUUAACACAUGCAAGUCGAACGCUGAAGCUCAGCUUUUGUUGGGUGGAUGAGUGGCGAGCGGGUGAGUAACACGUGAGUAACCUGCCCCCUUCUUUGGGAUAACGCCCGGAAACGGGUGCUAAUACUGGAUAUUCACUGGUCUUCGCAUGGGGGUUGGUGGAAAGGGUUUUUCUGGUGGGGGAUGGGCUCGCGGCCUAUCAGCUUGUUGGUGGGGUGAUGGCCUACCAAGGCUUUGACGGGUAGCCGGCCUGAGAGGGUGACCGGUCACAUUGGGACUGAGAUACGGCCCAGACUCCGACGGGAGGCAGCAGUGGGGAAUAUUGCACAAUGGGCGCAAGCCUGAUGCAGCGACGCCGCGUGAGGGAUGGAGGCCUUCGGGUUGUGAACCUCUUUCGCUCAUGGUCAAGCCGCAACAAUGGUUGUGGUGAGGGUAGUGGGUAAAGAAGCGCCGGCUAACUACGUG